AAUAAGUGUAGUUUUGCAAUAUUCAUCUUCAACAUUUGACUGUUCGUCUUUUGUGAAAAAAUUUUAUAAUUACUAUUUUUAUUGUUAUUAUAUGAUAAAAUAUGAAUAGUACUUUAUGUGUGACUAUUUUUUAAAAAAAAUCAUAAACAAACGUUGGACACGGAUUUUCACGGCUGCACCUGAG
rnacentral:pre_miRNA from 1 species